UACGAAGGGGGCUAGCGUUGCUCGGAAUCACUGGGCGUAAAGCGCACGUAGGCGGCUUUUUAAGUCAGGGGUGAAAUCCUGGAGCUCAACUCCAGAACUGCCUUUGGUACUGAGGAUCUUGAGUUCGGGAGAGGUGAGUGGAACUGCGAGUGUAGAGGUGAAAUUCGUAGAUAUUCGCAAGAACACCAGUGGCGAAGGCGGCUCACUGGCCCGAUACUGACGCUGAGGCACGAAAGCGUGGGGAGCAAACAGG
rnacentral:rRNA from 1 species